ACAAAACGGAACCCAAAUUUAUUGUAUCUCCUCGCACUCUGAACAGCUCGACAAAACGAAACCCUUAUUUCUUCUCUCUCCUCACUCUGAUCAGCCAAAACAACAUGAGACCUUAGUUCGAUUCACUCUCGUCGAUUUAGUCCGGCCAUCUCGUUGAUUUCGUGCGGCUCACCAAACCCAACUGCAGUGCAGAUCUCCUAAGAAAAAUAAAGUAAGAAUCAUUCAUAAAUAGUAUGAAGCUUGCAACAUUCAUUUAGAUAUGUGGACAUUGUUGCUAUUUUAUUGUUUUUUUAAUCUAUAGUGAGUGAAAUUAUUUAAAGUCCUUACAAUUUGCAUAAUAUGUUUCUGUUUUACUGUUUUUAAGAAAAGAAUAAAUUGAAAGUCAUGUUUCUAAAUUAAGUUAUAACAAUGUUGAUACUUGAAUUGUCUACUGUUGAGAAAAUUUGAAGUGGGUUUCUGCAUUUUGUUGCUGUUGGUGUUGAAUUAUGCUUAAAUUUUUAGAUUUUUUUUGUUUUGGUUUUCAAUAAUUGCUUUUAGGUGUUUGAACUAGUUCAAUUCAUGAAAGUUUUGUUGAGUACUAGAGAUUUUCCUUUAUUUUGAGCUGACAAUAGUUUGAAUUCAAGAAUUUUCCUUUGUUUUGAGUUGACAAUAGUUUCAGUUUUAGGGAUUUUCCUUUGUAAACUUUAUAAUUUGUUUAGUGGAGGAUGUGCAUACUUACUGGAGGUGGGUGAUGUAAGGCAGGUUUAACAUUCUAAGGUGUGUUUAUGGAUGUUUUUUUGAGUAUGAAGUAUUUAUUUGUUUUCAAAUAUUUACAGGGGUUAGGAGGUUGAGGAAAUAACCUGGUAUAUGUAUUGGGGUUUAAAUAUUUACUGUAAAUUAUAACUAUUGAAUAGAAAUUUAAUAGUAGCUAUAUAUGUUGAAUGUAGAAAGCAGGGAAAAAUAGAGCUCAUCAAAUAGGAAUUCGAGGUUGGAGCAGGAAGUUUUAGAAAGAUUCAAGUAUUUUGGAAGAUGAUCC
rnacentral:lncRNA from 1 species